AAAUUUGAUUUUAAAUGGAUGGGGCUCACAAUGGACCUCCUGAGACAACUGUUAGGUAAGAGCAUAAUUUCAAGAAAUUCCCAGAUUUGUUGGCUGCCACGUUCACCCAACCUUUCAGCUUACAAUUGCUACCUGUGGGGAUAUCUGAAGGAGCAAGUGUACGUGAACAAGCUGCGUACACUUGAGGCAGCUCAAGGAGAAUAUUCAUGCAGAAAUGUAAGCACUAGAGUCUCAAACAUUCACUAAUGUUACAAACAAUGCAAUCAAAAGAGCAAAACUUUGCAAGGCGACAAAUGGAGCUCAUUUUCCAUACCUAGUCAAACAAAUCUCCAUAUGUUGAGCAUUUAUUGUAUGUAAUAUCAUUAAAAUUUCUUCAUUAAUAAAAAAAAAGUUAUUGACUCCUUAAACUCUACUCUGAAUUCUGGCCCACCGUGUACUACCCUAGACACAGUAAGCACAGGUUCCCCGUCUAGAUUACCAUUUUAAUUUAGGAAAACCUUGAGCAAAGGCAUUAAAACAAAAAUAAACAGAAG